rnacentral:misc_RNA from 1 species
CGACCUCUUGUCACGUCCCUAAGGAUUCGUAUUCCUAGUCACGCGUUUAAUCUCUCGAAACAUGCAACCGUCUUGCAAUGGUUUGAUGCUUUGGGACCAAAGUUUACUAGGAAUAUUUGUACAUUUUGUAAGAGUAAAAAUGGGCAGAGGAAAAAGAAUUAACGGUACAGAUGUUGGUCAUGGUAAAUUCAAGUUACAUAGUUUUCGUAUGAACUCCAUGAGGAUGCAUGUUUGUACGAGGAUGUUGGAAAAAUGUGAGAUAUAUACAAAGCAUCAAAUUAAAAGUAUAAAAAAAUACAGGUAAACAAUAACUAAUAGUAACAACAAGAAAAAAGAAAACGCGUUGCUAAAGUGAAAAAGGAAGAUCUCCUCGUUCGGUCACGCAGCGAUGUUCUUCACAGAGUGGAGAUCUCCCUGUUCGGUUGGCUGAGUGUUAAAAGUACGACACGAAAAAAGAAUAAGCGAAUAACACGGUGCUGAUAGUAUUACAAUGUUUGAAAAUUAAUUUUAGUCCUCAAAUUGGAAAUAUCGAUAAAUUGAUAUGUAUGAGACUUACUAAACAGCUAAUUUAAUGGGACGAGUAACGUAAAAGAAGAAUAUUUUACUAAAAUCAUGCUUUAACUUUAUACACAUAUAUUUCUGUUCUAUUAUACUUGAAAUUUUAUAUAAGUUGGAAUUGUUCAUCUGACUCUUUCCUUAAAAUUAGUCUCGAUAAAUAUAAUGUAACUGAAACUUCAGCAAACGCCAUGAAACUUUCGUAUUUGGAAUGAAAUAAACUUAUAAUGACUUUCUUCUAAAUACUUCAAAGUCUAACACCAUCACACAUGCUCUCACCUAAUCAACCAGUAGACAAAUCCAUGUAAAACUGUCCAAACCAGAAACGUGUUUCUGCAUUGAUGCCUUCAACCAUUCUCGCCAGAUCGAUACCUUCGGUAGAAUUCUAGAGAAUUUAAUGCAUCGCACAGAAGCCA